AUUGAACGCUGGCGGCACGCCUUACACAUGCAAGUCGAACGGCAGCGCGGGAGCAAUCCUGGCGGCGAGUGGCGAACGGGUGAGUAAUAUAUCGGAACGUGCCCAGUAGUGGGGGAUAGCCCGGCGAAAGCCGGAUUAAUACCGCAUACGACCUACGGGUGAAAGGGGGGGAUCGCAAGACCUCUCGCUAUUGGAGCGGCCGAUAUCAGAUUAGGUAGUUGGUGGGGUAAAGGCCCACCAAGCCUGCGAUCUGUAGUUGGUCUGAGAGGACGACCAGCCACACUGGGACUGAGACACGGCCCAGACUCCUACGGGAGUCAGCAGUGGGGAAUUUUGGACAAUGGGGGCAACCCUGAUCCAGCAAUGCCGCGUGCAGGAAGAAGGCCUUCGGGUUGUAAACUGCUUUUGUCAGGGAAGAAAUCUUCUGGGUUAAUACCUCGGGAGGAUGACGGUACCUGAAGAAUAAGCACCGGCUAACUACGUGCCAGCAGCCGCCGUAA
rnacentral:rRNA from 1 species